rnacentral:tRNA from 1 species
GAUCGGGUAGUUUAAUAGAAUAUUUUAUUGUAAAUAAAGAGGAGAGCUGAUUA